UUUAUUUUCAUUUCGUGGAGCUCGAUUGUCUUGUUCACGUGACUGAGUCAAAACAUGGUAAAUAUCCCGUUUAUGAAUAGUUUUAAUGAAAGACAAUUAUUUGUAGAUCCUUCACAGAAAAAAAAUACACCCCAGUGUAAAGUAACAAUGCCAUGCUAAAAAAGUUACCUCCACUGUUUCCUGGUUAUUGGUUGACCGGAAACGAAAAUUUCAACCGAAAUGAAUAGUUUGCGUACUUAGCUUGUGUAUAUUCUUUAUUUUCCUUUUUAUUAUUCACUGUAAAUGUAAUGAGUAAUGACUGACACCUGUAAGUGUAGCGAAAAACCUAAAAUAAACUUAUCGCCAAAUUAAAAGCAAUAAUACUAUUGAAAACAGAGGUAGUAACGAAAAAAAGGGAAAAUUGUCGUAAACCGACUAUGCAGUUAUAUUACUAACUGAGUUGAUAAGUUAACCCAUUGUUCUACACAAUCCCUUACUAAGCAACCUAAAGCUUUUAGAAAAUGUAUUCAAGGUGUACCUACAACAAAGAAUAAAUAAAUAAAAUAAUUCAAUGUUUUUUUUUAAACGUUUAUUUACCAUCAACACGCAAUAGAUAGACAAAAUUUACUAUACACAAAACAACAAGUUGAUAACCGUUACAUUAUAGGGAUUAAUAUGGAUAUUUGAGUUUAUUGUCUAUAACUCUCGUGGAGUAUACUUAUAUUUAAGUUUUAUUAACGUAUUGUCACACUUAUAUAUAGAAAAAUAUCUCUGAAAACAAUUAUCCAUUUUUUACUAACAUAUUAUGUAAAGUUUUAGUCAGUUUUGUUUUGACUCUUUUUUUUUCAGAGAAUGUGUGACAUAUCUUGCACUAAACAUUUUAAGUCGUUUGGUUAGUACGAUUAAAAACUAUUAAUAUUAAAUAAAUUUACUCACAUGAAAUCAAUAAUAGUCAUAAAUUUUCAUUUUAUACGUUCUUGUAUUUUUCGUUUUGCAACUUUAAAUAAUAUAGACUUGUAAGAGGGAAAGAUAUUAAUUCGGAAUAUUAAAAAAAUGUAAAAUGUAAUAACAAAUUCCAAAAAACCGUAAUCGUAAAAAAUUGGAUAAAUGUUUUCAAAAACCGUUAUAUACUUUCUAAGAUUAUGUUAACUUGUGCGAAAUUCGAAAAAUGUGAUGGAAUGACAUUCAAGCAACUUCUAUAGGUAUUAUUGUCAUAAUACUAUGUAAUUAAAGAUAAUUUUAUUGAUCAGUGAAUAUAAAAUAAACUUUACAAACGAG